UGGAGCAUGUGGUUUAAUUCGACGCAACGCGAAGAACCUUACCAGGGCUUGACAUCCCUCGCAAUCCGUAGAAAUAUGGAGUUUUAUGCUUCGGUAUAAACGAGGAGACAGGUGGUGCAUGGUUGUCGUCAGCUCGUGUCGUGAGAUGUUGGGUUAAGUCCCGCAACGAGCGCAACCCCUACUUUUAGUUGCCAGCAUUAAGUUGGGCACUCUAGAGGAACUGCCGGUGACAAACCGGAGGAAGGUGGGGAUGACGUCAAAUCAUCAUGCCCUUUAUGUUCUGGGCUACACACGUGCUACAAUGGCCGGUACAGAGGGUUGCGAAGCCGCGAGGUGGAGCCAAUCUCAAAAAGCCGGUCUCAGUUCGGAUUGCAGGCUGCAACUCGCCUGCAUGAAGUCGGAAUCGCUAGUAAUCGCGAGUCAGCAUAUCGCGGUGAAUACGUUCCCGGGUCUU
rnacentral:rRNA from 1 species